AUUGAACGCUGGCGGCAGGCUUAACACAUGCAAGUCGAACGCGCGGCGGACGGGUGAGUAAUGCUUGGGAAUCUGGCUGAUGGAGGGGGAUAACUACGGGAAACUGUAGCUAAUACCGCGUACCAUAGGAUGAGCCCAAGUGGGAUUGGGUAGUUGGUGAGGUAAAGGCUCACCAAGCCGACGAUCUCUAGCUGGUCUGAGAGGAUGACCAGCCACACUGGGACUGAGACACGGCCCAGGCUCCUACGUGAGGCAGCAGUGGGAAAUAUUGCGCAAUGGGUGCAACCCUGACGCAGCCAUGCCGCGGGAAUGAAGAAGGCCUUCGGGUUGUAAAGUUCUUUCAGCGGGGAGGCGUUACCCGCAGAAGAAGCACCGGCUAAGUCCGUGCCAGCAGCCGCGGUAAUUC
rnacentral:rRNA from 1 species